CAGCAGCCGCGGGAAUACGUAGGGUCCGAGCGUUGUCCGGAAUUAUUGGGCGUAAAGGGCUCGUAGGCGGUUUGUCGCGUCGGGAGUGAAAACCAGCAGCUUAACUGCUGGCCUGCUUUCGAUACGGGCAGACUUGAGGCAUUCAGGGGAGAACGGAAUUCCUGGUGUAGCGGUGAAAUGCGCAGAUAUCAGGAGGAACACCGGUGGCGAAGGCGGUUCUCUGGGAAUGUUCUGACGCUGAGGAGCGAAAGUGUGGGGAGCGAACAGGAUUAGAUACCCCAGUAGUCCCUGUCUCUUAUAC
rnacentral:rRNA from 1 species